AUAAAUAACAUUUUUUUUUUUAUAAGUAUAAUUAUAUAUAUACAAAUAGAUAGAUACGUAUUAAAAUGUUUCUACGUAUUAAACAUUUUUUUCAAGUCCUUUACUAGUUAUAAAAAACCUGUUUGUUCCAAUAGAAAUAAAAUAAAAGAAAUCGAAAAGAGUUGCGAAGAUAGUUUGAACGAAAUUUUAAGGUCGGCUAUUGAAGUUACUGAAAUUUCUAAAAAGGCAGAAGAAGAAUUAGAACAACAAACAGAACAGAUAAAACAUAUCAAUGACGAAACUGACAUUAUUAAAGAUAAGUUAAAUCAAAGCCAAUAUCAUUUAGAGGGUAUAAAAUGUUGGUGGAAAAGCAUCAAUUCGUAUUUAGGGUUGGAAGCUUUUAAUAAUAAUGAAAAUAAACAAACAAAUAAUUCAGAUACUAAUUAUGCAAAAAAAGGAAGAGUUCAUUUAAAUAAUAAAAAUACUAUUGUAAAAAAUUAUAACAAAAUUUAUAAAAAUACAAAGAAUCUUAAAGAAAAUCAAUCAGAAAAAAAAAGUUUCGAUGAGAAAUACGAGAGCGAAUUAAACACCCUUUCUUCUAUAUUAGAUGAACUGCAUGAUAGGGCGUUGGUUAUGGGGAACACAAUUAACGAGCAGAACAAACUAGUAAGUAAAAAAAGGCAGAUAUAUAUCUCUUUGUAUGUAUAUGUAUACAUUUUUAUUUAUAUAUGAAUCACACGUGCAUAAAUCAAUCACAUGAUACUUAUAUAUUUAUAAGCUUGUUUGUUUUUAAUAUUUUAUAAUUAUUUUAAAUAGUUCUAUAAUUUUUUUUCUUCCUAAAAUCAUGCACACAUACAAGUGCAUACAAAUUUUUAAAUUCAUGUAGAAUAUAUACAUUGCUUUUCUUUGUAUAUCAUUCGAUUCUGUUAUGUAUCAUGUUGUUCCGUUUUAUUUUGUUCCGUUUUAUGCUGUUCCGUUUCAUAGGGCUCCGU
rnacentral:lncRNA from 1 species